ACCGAAUAGAUACCCAGGUAGUCCUGGCCAUAAACGAUGUCCACUAGAUCGUGGCCGCUCUGACGCGGUCAUGGUCGAAGCAAAAGUGCUAAGUGGACCGCCUGGGAAGUACGGUCGCAAGGCUAAAACUCAAAGGAAUUGACGGGGGCUCACACAAGCGGUGGAGCAUGUGGUUCAAUUCGAAGCAACGCGCAGAACCUUACUUGGGCUUGACAUGCCAGGAUUAUCCCUAUGAAAGUAGGGUAGGCCCUUCGGGUACGAACUGGUACAGGUGCUGCAUGGCUGUCGUCAGCUCGUGUCGUGAGAUGUCGGGUUAAGUUCCCUUAACGUAGCGAAACCUUUAGCCCUUACGUUACCAUCGGGUUAGUGCCGGGGUACGUCUAAGGGGACGUGCCGGUGUCAAACCGGAGGAGGUGGAGAUGACGUCAAGUCCUCAUGGCCUUUAUGCCCAGGGCC
rnacentral:rRNA from 1 species